rnacentral:lncRNA from 1 species
GAAAUGUUAGACUAAUCAAAUGUUAAUGAUAAACAAGUAGCCAAUUGAACUAAAGGAAUUAUACACCGAGGCACUGUCAAUCGUCUUCCUCCUCCAUCCCAAAUAGCUUCCAUAUCAAUCCCUUCCAAUGACCAUAGGGUCGUGAAUCCCACAUGAACGGUUCCAAUAAUAAACUAUGCCAACCGAAAAACCUGAAGCAAAGUUUAGGGUUUUGAAUUUGGGAAAUUUUGUAAAUCACCCUUUAUUCCGAAGAUUGAAAAUUAAACGACAAUUGGCAACAGAGAUGAGGGAGCUACCUUUAACAGCUGCAGGAAGAUUACCAAAGACGAGGACGACGACUCUUUCUUGCCUCUUUUUUGUUUUAUUUUUUGGCGAACUUGCUCGACGACGAGAUCAAGGACUCUCAACAGCGAGACGGGGCGACUUAACUUCCUACCUCAUCCUCUUUUUUCGUUUCUUCUUCGCUGAACUUGCUCAACUGCGGCAAAAGGAUGGUAACAACUUUUUGCCGCCUUUAUUUUCUUUCAAGCGAUUAUACUCUCUCGCUUUUACUGUGGUUGUAAUUAUGUUUUUUGGAAAAAGGUUGG